AGUGAACGCUGGCGGUAGGCCUAACACAUGCAAGUCGAACGGCAGCACAGUAAGAGCUUGCUCUUACGGGUGGCGAGUGGCGGACGGGUGAGGAAUACAUCGGAAUCUACUUUUUCGUGGGGGAUAACGUAGGGAAACUUACGCUAAUACCGCAUACGACCUACGGGUGAAAGCAGGGGAUCUUCGGACCUUGCGCGAUUGAAUGAGCCGAUGUCGGAUUAGCUAGUUGUCGGGGUAAAGGCCCACCAAGGCGACGAUCCGUAGCUGGUCUGAGAGGAUGAUCCGACACACUGGCACUGAGAAACGGUCCAGUCUCCUACGGGAGGACGCAGUGGGGAAUAUUGGACAAUGGGGGAAAGCCUGAUACAGCCAUACCGCGUGGGUGAAGAAGGCCUUCGGGUUGUAAAGCCCUUUUGUUGGGAAAGAAAAGCAGCAGGUUAAUACCCCGCUGUUCUGACGGUACCCAAAGAAUAAGCACCGGCUAACUUCGUG
rnacentral:rRNA from 1 species